CGGUCCCUUUCCCUGGGUGGCUUGAAUUGGAACAGAGAAAAGGGUCUGUUGAGUUACUGAAUCCAUGACGUGGAAGCUUGGGACAGCUUCGUUGCUGCCAUGUUUAUUUUAGUGGGGUGCAGGGCGGGUGAGACAGAGAGGGAAAGACGGGGAGAGGGAGGGAAAGGGAGAGAGGCACAAACACACCAGGACCAGAGGUGGUACAACAGGGAGAAAAUCCGCUCAGCUUUGCGGGCGGUGGUUUGAGAACCUCGCUGAAGUUCACUAAUUCUGGCUCUUGGGCUGCAUGAGAUGCCCCUUUGUUUUCAUAAUAACCACCCCCCACGUUUUCUGGGGUUUAAAUUAACUCGACCUCACUUCUACAAUUUGCACACACAGGAGAUAAAGCUAACACACGGUGUCAAUAACUCCCCGUCCAGGUUCUUUGAGGAUUCAGUGAGAAGAAGCCCUUCAGGGGGCUCCUAGCAGGCUCUCCAAAAGGGACAGUUAUUAUUAUCUCUGUGACACCUGUCAACCUUAAAAAUAAAACAGCCAGUUAUGAUACCAGCAAAAGGAGUUCAUUCCGGACUAGCCGAAGAAAUACAGUUUGGGACAAGCAAACUAUGGGGAACCAUAGGCAAGUUCGAAGGGACAAGGGGAAGGUCAGCUCUUAUUAGGUUUGAGGAAGAGAUUGGGGAGGAUGGUUCUGAACAGAAGUUCACUGGAGAAGUACAGGAGUUCGAGGCAGUGGUGGUAUCUCACUGGCUGCAAGAUGUGGUUACUGCUUUGUUACUGGGGCAGGACAGCCCUUCCUGCCCCUUCUUAAAGGCCGGAGAUAAGACACCCAUGUGAAGAGGGCCCUCUCUCGGGAAGAUGAUUCUUCUCUUCCUUGACCAGCUGGUCCUGUGGGCCUCAAGGAGCGGUACCUGCGUGACAGCGCCCCCUUCAGGGCUCCCCACGCCAUUCCAGGUGAGGCUUCCUUUAUCGCCACCUGUUCUAUCACACCUGGUCUUCUCUCUCCAUCCCUUUCCGACUCCUGAGGACCAGAGAGGAGACAGCUCUGGGAGGGGAGAGGAGACAGUAACAGGAGAGCAGGCUGUGGGGAAGAAAGCCGGGCCCCUGGCAAAGGGGCAGGGAGGCUGUGUGACAAGUCGUGAUGAGAAGCCGCUAAGGAGCCCCCUGGUACCAUCAGACUGGAUGGAGCCUGUGUGCACAUCUGCCCACAGCACACCUUCUAGAGGAAAUGCAGGGAGAGCAGGAGGAACAGGAAACCAAUGACAAAUUCUGGCUCUAACACCCAUCAGCUCUGCCACCCCAGCAUCCGGGCGGUUUGCUCAUGGAGCAAACUGGGACGUUUCCCCCACCGCCACCCCCACCCACACCCACCCCGGGCCCAGGGUCUUAGUGAACGUGCGUGGAAAAGCAGGUGUGUGGAUGCCUCCUUCUCAUCCUUCGGGCCCGGGCUCCAAUUUAACUUCCUCUGCAAAGACCCCCUUUCUUGUUCACACACCACCUUGUAAUUUGUAAUUACAGACUGAUUUGUUUGCUCCCUUGUUUAUGGGUGCAUCUCUCUUUCUGCACCUGUUUGGACAUUCCUCCCCUUGCCCUCCCUUCCCUGCCUUCAGGGAAGCAUUUUCUGCCCUCCUGGCCCUAAAGUCUGGCUUUAUUCUUCUCCCUCCCAGAUGGCCAGCAGGGUGGAGAUCCCGGUGUGCCUUGUGCCUUUCCCAGUUAGGACAGAGGCAGAGGUGGGGGGCAGCGGGGUGGCUGGAUUUCUUCCUUCACUCUGGCUCACCCUCUGGAGGCUCAUCUCAGCACACGUUGUCCCAUAGCCUUGCCGCGAGCCGGGUCCCAGAGCUGCCACCUAGGAGCAGAAGGAUUUGUCUUGCCCCAGGGAAGGCUCACUGGACACUUCCUCCCCAGAACUCACUGACACAAGCGAACCGUCUGGAAGAGGGGGCCUCGACAUGAAUCCAACUGGCUAAGGAUAUGGAGCAGAAAGUCCCAGAUAACUCAGCAAGGAGGGACAGAGCAGAGAGGCAGAGCCCAGGACCCUUGUAGUGUUUCUCACGUGCCAUGUUGCCUCUGGCUCAGACCAGGCCUUGAAGCCCAAUCAAGACGUCAGCAGUGCAGCUUGCCAUAUUGACCUGCAUUAGUAACAGCGUGCAGGGUUUUUAUGAGCAUCCUCCCAUUGGCAGGCCCUGAAGCAACGAUUUGAGGGCAACUAGUUUCUUUGGGGAAUGCAGGAAACCCAUGUAUCGCAGUGAUUCAGAGGAGGAAAGCACCCAACUUUUAGGUGAGAAGGUCGAGACCUGGGCAUAACCUCACAGCUCACAUCCAGACCGGUGUGGAGCCCAAAUGUACUGCCCCCCAACCCCGCCCAGUCUAUACCCUGCUUACUGAGUGGCUGCUUCCCAGAGUUCACAGAACACGCUUCUCCAAAUAGCUCCACAAACCACAGUAGGAAGGACAAACAGAAGCUACACCCAACCAUUUAUACUUUAGAGUGAAGUGGCUUUGAUUCCAUCACGAGGUGCAUGUUUCCUGUAGGGCUGUGUGCAGGGCUGGGGGGCGGGAGGAGAGGUGGGGCGGAGGACAGAGAACCUCCGACGGGUUUAAGGAAGGUGCCAAUGAACUAGGAACGUGUAAGAGGCUGGGGUCAGGAGUACCAAGCCCUAUCCCUUCUCCUCGAUCUGAUUUCCUAGGAAACGUUUACUGCGCAUUUACGAUAUGCUAACCCCCGUGAUGGGCCCAGCCCUACGCGGGGAGAUGAGGCGACCACUCAAGUUCAGUACAUCCCAGACUCGGGCAGGGGAUAAAAAUUUGCGUUAUGGAUUAAAGGCAUUACCAAUUUUCUACAAUGGUUCAAGAACUUUCAUAGACAAACAAAAAAAAGAUCAACCUGACCAAGUCCCCAGUUUCCUAAGGUUGAGUGGCCUCAAGUUUUUUUCUAGAGAUAUCUCCAGCUUCCUGCCAGCUACUGAGCAUGAGCACUUCAUAGCUCUGACUGAAGCUAAAAGUUUUGGUUUUUUUUUUUUUCUUUACUUGUUAUUGUUGUUUUCUUUUUUUUUUAACAGAUCAUUUUCUCCUGGUGCGCAGACCUCUGGAGAAUGGAAACAGUCAGGAAGAUGUUCUUUUUUUUUUUCUCUCAUGUAAUUCUUUUAUUUAUUUAUUUUUUCAAUAUAUGAAAUUUAUUGUCAAAUUGGCUUCCAUACAAUACCCAGUGCUCAUUCCAAAAGGUGCCCUCCUCAAUACCCAUCACCGGCCCUCCCCUCCCUUCCACCCCACAGGAAGAUAUUCUUAAGUGACUCUUAAGCAUUUCCCCACCUCACCUUUUAC
rnacentral:lncRNA from 1 species